rnacentral:rRNA from 1 species
UACGUAGGGGGCAAGCGUUGUCCGGAUUUAUUGGGCGUAAAGAGCGUGUAGGCGGUCUGGUAGGUCCGUUGUGAAAACUCGAGGCUCAACCUCGAGACGCCGAUGGAAACCCUCAGACUAGAGUCCGGAAGAGGAGAGUGGAAUUCCUGGUGUAGCGGUGAAAUGCGCAGAUAUCAGGAAGAACACCCGUGGCUAAGGCGGCUCUCUAGUACGUGACUGACGCUGAGACGCGAAAGCGUGGGGAGCGAACCGG